AUUGAACGCUGGCGGCAGGCCUAACACAUGCAAGUCGAGCGAGCGGCGGACGGGUGAGUAAUGUCUGGGAAACAGCCUGAUGGAGGGGGAUAACUACUGGAAACGGUAGCUAAUACCGCAUACCAUCAGAUGUGCCCAGAUGGGAUUAGCUAGUAGGUGGGGUAACGGCUCACCUAGGCGACGAUCCCUAACUGGUCUGAGAGGAUGACCAGACACACUGGAACUUAAACACGGUCCAGACUCCUACGGGAGGCAGCAGUGGGGAAAAUUGCACAAUGGGCGCAAGCCUGAUGCAGCAAUGCCGCGUGUGUGAAGAAGGCCUUCGGGUUGUAAAGCACGUUCAGCGGGGAGGCGUUACCCGCAGAAGAAGCACCGGCUAACUCCGUGCCAGCAGCCGCGGUAAUAC
rnacentral:rRNA from 1 species